GCCUCCAUAGCGCAGUAGGCAGCGCGCGAGUCUCAUAAUCUCGAGGUUGUGAGUUAGAACCUCACUCGGGGCA
rfam:Daphnia pulex DAPPTscaffold_1305_Cont12488, whole genome shotgun sequence.